ensembl:lncRNA
UGACCAUCGCUCCGACAUCUUUGCGCCUGCCUUCCAGGACUCCUCUGAAGGAAAGUAAAGGAGCAGUUGGGAUUCGACGGAAGCAUGUGGUCUUGUCUGGGUGAGUCCAAGAGUGUGGAGCUACUGAGAACUCUGCCUCAAGUGGAAGGAUGUAGGGCUUCCAACCUAUUAGUAGAUUCGUCCCCUUGCUUGGUUUUUGGAGAAUAAAAGCAGCGAAUGUGGAACACCCUUUCUGUCCUGCCAUACCCUGGGUGCUGGGAUACAACGACAAGAGAAGAACAAGCAUCAGAACAUGUGUGUGCAACCAAAGACCAUCGCAGCCCCAGACCAUCUGCGCAAGAAGAGCCUGGGCAAGUGCUGGUUGAAGAGGGACGUCUUGAAGGCACGUUUGCACAAAUCACUCUUAAUUGGAUGAAAAAGUGUGCCGAUCCCUGGAGCAGGUCUUCCAAAGCACAGAAGACAACGAUCUUUAAGACAAGAGCGCUGCCUCCUUCCUUUGCAGACCACCACCUCAUCACUUCAAUUUCCUCUAAAGAAAACAAACUGUUUUUCUCAUAUUUCAUGGCUUUGAGGUUUAUUCCAAGCCUUGCCAGUGGCCUCAGGCUCCUCGUUGCCUUAUUUGAAACAAGAGAUAUAGAGCAGCCGAGACAGAUGACGAUGUGGAGAGGGAAGGAGGCGAGACGGGGCCCACGCUCAGACUCCCUAAAUCCACGAGGGAAACUUCCUUCUGUUGGCAC